rnacentral:lncRNA from 1 species
AGUGCUCAUGGAUAGACUGCCCUUCGUACAUUUUCAGAUAGAAGAGUCUCUUGGAUACUUCAAAGUGCGCAGUACGGCUCUGCUCACCAUACAACUCUUGUAGGUAUGUGAUCAUGGUCUGAGCAGUGGGUAUAUGCUCAUACUGGCUUUGCAACUCAUUUGACAUAGACGCCAGCACAUAACUCAACAACAGGAUGGUUUGGUAGCACUAUAGGA